CUCACUUUCACAGGUAACCUCUUUACCCUCUUUCUUACUUUCAAUGGUGGAAUCGAAUCUGUAAAAAGUUGCUGGGAGUUGUUCAAUUGUUGGCUUAAUUGCAAAAUCGCAGUUGAAGAUUGGCCAGAUAAGUUGCGGUGUCGGCUUAAUUGAAAAAUCGCAGUGUCUUUGCCCGGAGGCAGGCCAGUUGGCCGUAGUAAUCCUUUCUUAUAGAAAUUGUCCCGCGGUAGUGUUUCUGUUGGCUUUUCACCGAAUAUCCAAUUGCGUACCUGAUGACUGUUACUUAAGUUGUUCUAUUAAUUGGAUGCCUGUUGAUGUUCUGAAAUUGGUUAUUUUAUUGCUGCAAAUACUCACUUUUAGGGUAGAAUAUAUGGGUGGAAGGAGAUGUUUGAAACAUAAAAGGAGUGCUAUCCAAGAAGAUGAUUUGGAAGAGGUAUUUGUCUGCAAUUUAGAAUCAUUGCAUGCUUUCAUUCUUGAAUUCAGUCGUUAAUCAUCGGCAUUGUUGUGUUAUUGGAGGUUGAUUAUUACACACCACUCCUUUGAAGGAUCUAACUGAGGACAUUUUUAAGGAUGAUUCAUUAAAUGUUGGCGGUCAAAUUAAAGCAAGAGGGGAUGUGUUAUUAGAAAGGGAUAGAGCUAGUAGUCGGGUGAGUAAGUUGUUAUGGACAGUAUGGUUUAAUGUUUUGCUAAGUGAAUUGUAAUUGUAAUUAGGUGAUGUUGAACCUCUUCUUUGUAGCCACCUAACACUAGCUGUCGUAUUGAGACCUUUGGAAGAAUAUGCCAAACUUUUGAUGAUUGGAGAAUUCGAUGGGUCGGAGAAAUGGGUUUUGGUGGUCUUUUACACUUUGCACGAGACAUGCAUCUCCCAAGGCAGCUAUCUUACUGGUUAAUGACUCAAAUUGAUCCUCUGAAUAGUACUUUAAGAGGUGUAGAUGGUAGAUUGUUCAACAUUUCAAAGAACCAAGUACACUGGGUCCUAGGUAUUCCUAACAGGGGAUUUGUUGUUCCAACUUACAAAUCAUUGUCACAAGAGGGCAAUCUUGAGAUUCUAGACAUAAUGGGUAGGUAUGGCAAAUCAUGGAAUAGUAGACACUACAAAACAGAGGGAAUACCUAUUAAUAGGCAAUUAAUGGAGAGGGUAGAGGGGCAUUGGCAGGAACACGAGGAAGAUGAGUUCAAGAUGUUUUUAUUCUGUCAUUGGAGAUGUUGUUAUGCCCGACACAAUCCUCUAGGCUAGUGUCCGAUCUUGUUCCUUCAUUGACAUGUGCCCCUAGAGCUGCGGAGUAUGGCUGGUGUAGUCUUGUGUUGAAGAAGCUGAUGGACAGUGUUGCUGCAUUUUCACGUAGAUAUUACUCGAGUGGUUUUUCUAGUGGGUGUGGUGGUUGCCUUAUUUUUGUUGUGGUUAUGUAUUUGGAUCGUCUUAAUAGGCAACCUGUAGGAUGCUCAUUUCAAAUUGUAUUUCUCUGCUUCGGGGAAAGCAAUAGCACUCGGUGUACCAAACUCAGAGGAAAGCGUAAACCAAGCACCAAACCCCAGAGCCUGUUGCCCCUAUCGUUGGAUCUUAUUUUUCACAUUUUGUUUAUCUUCAUAACAUUUUCUAUUGUAGAUCCUGGAUGCUGCCUAUGGUGAACGACAUCCUAGAUUAGCAAGGGAUACAUCCUAGAUUAGCAAGGGAAACAGAUGGGCCUGGGCAGUGUAACGAGGUUGGCUGAAUACUUUGUAAAUUAUUCUAUCUGAAAUUUAAUGUAUUAGUUUUUGGUUCU